AUGGAAGGGAGCCUGAGGCUCACAAAUACUCCUGGUGUGAGCAUUCAUGUGGAACAGUGUAGAAACAAGACAGAAACCCAGGACACAACAAUCAAGGAAAGGUACAGUCUAUGACAAGGUAGGAUUGUGUCUGACAAGGGCAAGAUUGUAUCUCCCUGGAAGAGGUAAUAAAAACAAUACAAGGGUAUAGGUGUCAAGACACACACAGAUGAAAGAAUACAUCUGAUUCCUCUGCCUAUUUGAUACUGUUUUUUGGCAUAGAGCACAGAGGUUUCCUUGGGUGCCACAGUGACAAGCAUACCUUCAUGGGGCAUUUCCCAAUGGUGGAAAGAAUGCGAAGAAAGUGCAAGGGA